rnacentral:lncRNA from 1 species
UCUUAGUAAUGCCAGAAAAAUAACAGCCGUUAUUUUCACUUUAAAUGCAAACCAAAUACUGCUGCACACAGAGUACAAAGAUUACCUAUGAACAUGGUUAGGUACAAAGGCCAUAUUAGAUGUAUAGACCACACUUUGUUCUUACAUCAAAGUAAGACCGACAGAGCAAUUUUUUUGACAAUUAUUUUAGCAAAUAACCGUGCUACUAAACAAAGGCAAAUACACAUAUAUACACAAACACGUCUCAACUAAAAUUAUACAUGUCACUUUGACAACCAAAUUCUCUGGUGGUUUCACCAGAUAUUUGCACCCCAAAGUUCCCUGCCCAAAUCCCGCCCCCAAAUGCUGACUUGAUCUGAAGAAAAAAAUUAGAGAUGUUCUUAAUUAAAGGCACAUUUGGCAGCUACUGAAAGUGGCAUGCAUCUGGCACAGGUGCGCUCUCCCUAAGCCACACCACAUGUACCUUCCAUCUGUUAUGCAUCUUGUUUCUUUGAGUGGUAGUCCAAUGUGACCCACCGUUAGCUAACUUGCUUUAUAAUUCUGCAGCAAUUGGCUACUUAAUGCACUAUUUUCAUUAAAGGCAAAAGGGAAAUUUGCUCACAGUCGACAGAAAAUGCACUUUACGGUGUCAAAAAUGGAAAAUAAGGCAUGGAAUUUACUAAACAAGUUACAAGUGCUUUUGUUGUUUAGAUUUAUAAUAUAGAUUUCAUGCUUAAGUAGAGCUCAAAAUAUUUCAUUGGCUCAUGUAUAAGGGAUUAUGAAAUAAUUUUAACAGUAAUGAGAUGUUUCAAAGAAGAAAAAUAUUGAAUAAAGUCAUCAUGUUCCCUUAUAAAUAACUUUACUGCAUAAUUCUUUCAGCCAAACCAAUAUUAACCUUGUGAUGUUUAUUUACUGGUAAAGAUUGAUGUGCAAUACAACAGGACCUAUACUUGUGUAGUCACACAAUAUAUGUUAAAAGAAUAAGUAAACCUGUUCACAGCAGCAGAAUACCAAGAAAUAAAUGGUUAAACUGUUUCUUUCUAAAUCUGAAGGAACAAAAAGGUUUUCCUCAAUAUGUACAACAUAAUAAAUUGGGACACUCCUCCUAUUUUGCUGAGCCACUUAAAAAUCUGAAUCUAAGCUGUCAUUAGAAGACAAACAAUGAAAUACAAGAUUAAGCUAAAUUUGAGAAUUAAGAUCAUGACCAUAAAUACCAACUAAUUUUUGGUUUACAUAAGGUAAUUUUUGAUUUAUGGAGGGAAAAAAACCUUUAAGAAUUUAGAAUCAGUAUAGCCUCCAGCUGACAUAGUAAUUGUUCUCUGGGCUGUUGUUGACUGUAGUAUUAGUGUGGCAUGCUCUUUGUCAAAUUCAGAUCCAUUAAAGCAUCCUUGAGUUGUUAAGAGAAUAGUAACCUACUAAACAUAAUUUGAUGCCCAACAACCUUUAAUUAAGCAAACUCUCAAUGUAUGCUUCCUGAUAAUGUGUAGUCUUAAAAUACAUCAGCCUUGAAAUAUUUUCAUUUCUAAGAGAAAUGUUCCACAUUUUGGAAUGUGGUUAACAAAAAGUCAUGCUGCAUUUACCCCCUUUGUAAUGUCCAGGAUUCAAAAGCAGAAUUUUGUAAUGAUGCAUUUAUCUCCUCUGCCAUUUCUGGUCCCUGAUUAAAUAUAUUUUCAUUACUACAAGGAUAAAUUUGUCAACUAGUUAAUGUUUCAUAUUGAGAGGAAGGCAAGGAUACCGCUUUCACCUCCACCUAAGGGCAUUCAAUUGAAUUUUUCUAAUCAGUUACCACUGCAGAAAAUAUUUUUACCCAAAUGUCACAGUUCAGAAUAAAAUAUCCUCCAUCCACAAUACAUAUAAAACUGUUGCACAGUGAAGUGGUCUCCUAGAACCAUGGGGUAGAAGAAUAGUUCCCUUUGGGAGAAAUAAGAUUAGAACUUCAAAUUUGAGUUUUUCCUCUUUAUAGACUAGAUAGGUUGAAAAGGGGUUAUCACCUUAUUGAAGGCUAACACAUUAGCCGAAGACAUACUGAAUGGGAUCCAAUGUGACUUUUACCAGGUUCUCAUUUGGAAUGGGCCUGGGGCAAUUAAAAAGAGAAGUAAUCCAUGAGACAUAAAAAGAGAAAUCCUAGGGACAAUGAGGCUGGCCCAGUAAAAAGUCCUGGGAGAUUCUGGACUAUGUAUCAUGAUUAGUUGUAGUGGCACUAGUAAGUUGGCUUACAUAAAUACUGUUGAGUGGAUGGUCUUAGGGACAGUUUGCAUCCAAGAGGAGAUUUGAAAUUAAAUUUUUAGGACACUUUCCAAAGAAGAAAUAUUUUAUAAAGAGAAAAAUGGCUACCAUCAUAGGAAUGGUACAGAUAUUAAACAAAAAGGAUUCAACUCUAACAAAUAAAUAAGAAAAUAGGAUAGACUGCUUAAUGACGGUGCAGUUAACAUACCUUCUGGUCUUAAAGGACUACAUACCGUACCAUCGCGGAUGUACAUUUUGCUCUAAUAAAUAUCAUAGGAAAUUAUUAAAGUACUAGGUUCCCACCAUGUUGCAGCACUUCUACAAAUGUCUCUUAAUAGCGUGGUUAACAGAAUUGCUGAAAUGUUGCUUCAUUAUUCAGAGGAUACAUGCAGAUGCUGAUGAACCAGAUAACUCUCUAAGGAUGGAAUACUGCACAUUUCACAGACAUUAUAGUGGAGAUUAAUAAAAUGUUUUCUCUUCAACAAGGUGCAUGCAUUUCAGUCACAGUAUUUGUUAGACUCAGAAUAACAGUACAUACGCUUUAUGAAUAAUCCAUAUUAUGAUAGUAAUGAUGCAGGUAGAUGUUCUGUCAUGAAUAGUUUUGAUAAAGCAGAAAACCUCAAGCAAGGUAGAAUGUUCAAUAGAAACCUUAACACACUGUACACAUGUUGCUUAGGAACUUAAAACUUACAAAGUUCUGCUUAAAAGAUACCCAUCCUAUUCUAACCAAGUAUCUUCCUAUAUGCCAAGCUGUGACUUUAGAUCAUUCUUUAAGAUUAAUACAUAUAUCCAGAACUAGAAACCAAGGCGUACCACAAAACGUGCUUUUAUGUUUAGUGUUUUUGUGUGUUUUUCAACUAAAAGAAAUAAGAAUCAACCAUUUUCUUCAUAUAAUAAUUUAAUAUAUGCCAGCCAAACAAAGUAUUUGUAUCUUUAUUCAAUUAAAUUAAAACAGACCUGCCAGGUAUAUUAUAUAACAUUCACUAUAUACAUAUGAUUUAGGCAAUGCAAGAUAAUUCUAGAUAUGCUGAUUACUCAACUAUGAGUAAAACAUGAGCGGUGUCAGUGAUGCCCAGCAAGUGCUCCUUUUCACAUUGGGUGUCUGCAUUUCCAUGGUAUGGUUAGAGGGAUAGCUACGAGCCAUGACAUGGACUACCAGUAAACUUUUGUGGGAGAAGGAGGGAAAAUGACAAUCUAGCAUAGAUUAACAGUCUCCUAAAUGCAAAUAGAAUACUUGACAGUUAUGUUUUUUUAAAAAGUUCUUCUGUCAUGUUAAUGACACAAAACUUCUUUUUUGAAGGCAACACCACCACAUUUUGUUUGGGUGUGUGGGGACAGGUGGGGAAUGCUCUUAAAAUUGGUAUAAUUAUUCCUAAAACAACAACAACAACAAAAAAGUACCUCUUUGGUGAAGCCUCGGUACCCAUUCAGUUCACCGUAAUAAUCUGUAAACAGGACUGUAGUACAGUGCCGGGCCUUGAUUUCAACAAGGUCAGGUACCACAGCCUUUCCUCACAGUCCUUUGAGUGAUUUUUAAGAAAAUAUUCUGAAGUAGAAGAGUAAAGCAAAGGAAAACAAAGGAAGAUAUUAAGAUCCCUGUUUACAUUUUUUUUUAAAAGUGCAUAAUUUGAAUUACAAAAACUGUCAUCAUGUGGGCCUGCUGGACACUAGACUGUGUUUUCCAUCCCUUUAAUGAUCACUUCACAAAAGAUCACUUCACAAACACUUCCCAAAAAGAG